rnacentral:rRNA from 1 species
AACGUAGGACGCAAGCGUUAUCCGGAAUUACUGGGCGUAAAGCGCGUGUAGGCGGAUGAGUAAGUCACUGUUGAAAGCGCCGGGCUAAACCCGGCGAGGUGCGGUGAGACUGCCUAUCUAGAGACUGUCAGAGGGAUGCAGAAUUCCGGGUGUAGUGGUGAAAUGCGUAGAGAUCCGGAGGAAUACCAGAGGCGAAGGCGGCAUCCUGGGGCAGAACUGACGCUGAGACGCGAAAGCAUGGGGAGCGAACGGG